rnacentral:rRNA from 1 species
GAUGAACGCUAGCUACAGGCUUAACACAUGCAAGUCGAGGGGAAACGACAUCGAAAGCUUGCUUUUGAUGGGCGUCGACCGGCGCACGGGUGAGUAACGCGUAUCCAACCUGCCCAUCACUUGGGGAUAACCUUGCGAAAGUAAGACUAAUACCCAAUGACGUCUCUAGAAGACAUCUGAAAGGGAUUAAAGAUUUAUCGGUGAUGGAUGGGGAUGCGUCUGAUUAGCUUGUUGGCGGGGUAACGGCCCACCAAGGCGACGAUCAGUAGGGGUUCUGAGAGGAAGGUCCCCCACAUUGGAACUGAGACACGGUCCAAACUCCUACGGGAGGCAGCAGUGAGGAAUAUUGGUCAAUGGACGAGAGCCUGAACCAGCCAAGCCGCGUGAGGGAGAAGGCGCUCAGCGUCGUAAACCUCUUUAGCCGGGGGACAAAACCUCCUCGCGGAGGAGGCUUGAGAGUACCCGGAGAAUAAGCAUCGGCUAACUCCGUGCCAGCAG